UACGGAGGAUGCGAGCGUUAUCCGGAUUUAUUGGGUUUAAAGGGUGCGUAGGCGGGAUGCCAAGUCAGCGGUAAAAAUGCGGUGCUCAACGCCGACGAGCCGUUGAAACUGGCGUUCUUGAGUGGGCGAGAAGUAUGCGGAAUGCGUGGUGUAGCGGUGAAAUGCAUAGAUAUCACGCAGAACUCCGAUUGCGAAGGCAGCAUACCGGCGCCCUACUGACGCUGAGGCACGAAAGCGUGGGUAUCGAACAGG
rnacentral:rRNA from 1 species